rnacentral:tRNA from 1 species
AAUAAAUUGCCUGAUAAAAGGAACACUUUGAUAGAGUGUAAUAUAUAAUUAUAUCAAUUAUAUUUAUUA